CAGCUUUUGACAUGUCCGGUUUGAUCGGCAGAGAUGCCUUUCUUCAGUUCGGCUGGCCGGAACACAGGUGCUGCAUGGCUGUCGUCAGCUCGUGUCGUGAGAUGUUGGGUUAAGUCCCGCAACGAGCGCAACCCUCGCCCCUAGUUGCCAUCAUUAAGUUGGGAACUCUAGGGGGACUGCCGGUGAUAAGCCGCGAGGAAGGUGGGGAUGACGUCAAGUCCUCAUGGCCCUUACAGGCUGGGCUACACACGUGCUACAAUGGCGGUGACAAUGGGCAGCGAAAGGGUGACCUCGAGCUAAUCCCAAAAAGCCGUCUCAGUUCAGAUUGCACUCUGCAACUCGAGUGCAUGAAGGUGGAAUCGCUAGUAAUCGUGGAUCAGCAUGCCACGGUGAAUA
rnacentral:rRNA from 1 species